AGAAGGAGCCAGCAUGGACAAUCUCCUUUACAGUUUUGGAAGCAGGUUUGUUGCCAUGGAGUUCACAUUUUGACUGGAGUUGAGAAGUAUAAAGGUAACCAUCUGUUAUAGUUUCAACGAUCUGACAAAAAGAUAGGCUGUUGCUCUUCUUCUGGAAAAGCCUGAUUGGUAAGAUUCCUUUAAGGGCUCAGCCCCAAAGAGCUUUAUCCCAUCCCCUCACAGACUGAAAACUAAAGCCUGCAGAGACCUCUGAAGGAAAACCUGUCCCGGGCUCUGUCACUUCACACCCAUGGCUAACCCUGGAGGUGGUGCUGUUUGCAAUGGGAAACUUCACAAUCACAAGAAACAGAGCAAUGGCUCACAAAGCAGAAACUGCACAAAGAAUGGAAUAGUGAAGGAAGCCCAGCAAAAUGGGAAGCCACAUUUUUGUGAUAAGCUCAUUGUUGAAUCGUUUGAGGAAGCACCCCUUCAUGUUAUGGUUUUCACUUACAUGGGAUAUGGAAUUGGAACCCUGUUUGGCUAUCUCAGAGACUUUUUAAGAAACUGGGGAAUAGAAAAAUGCAACGCAGCUGUGGAACGAAAAGAACAAAAAGUACGUAUGCGCACCUCCCUGGAUCUUUGUCAAUGCCUACUCCUCUCUAAAGUGUUCUCAGAAGUGGUGAUGCAGGUGCAGAUCCUAGAAAGUAUGAGGUGCUCAGGAACUAUUCAGGGCAAAUUUCAUUCAUCUCCACCUCCUAAACCCCAUUCCCCAUGGGCUUAUGGACCUGUUUUUACAAACAUCUCAUGGGCAACUACUAUUUGCCACAUACCGAACUAAGGCUUUUCCCAUACCUUGUAAUAUUUAAUUUUUGUAACAACCCCAUGAUAUAGAUAUUAAACUAUAAUUUUGAAGAUAAAAACAUGAAAAUAUAAAAGCAAGUGCUCCUGGGUGGGACUGUACUUUGGUCUUCUAGUUCUAAGUUGGGUAUUAUUUAUGCUCUAUCCUGAAAAGGAAAGUGCAUUUGAGUGAACUGGGACAUUUUUAUUUCAUCUAAAUCUGAUUUCUCACCUUUGACACUAUUAAUAUUUUGAACCAAUUUUUUGGGCAUUGUAAGAAUUUUAACAGCAUCUGAAAAAUAUAGCAUUAAACCACUAAAGCUAAGGACCCUCAUGAAGUCACUGCACCCUCCACUACCUCUACUGGAACAGGCACUGGUAUCCACUGCUGAGAGACCCAUAGAUGGUUCACAUCACAGGACUCUGUGGAGAAAAUCCCCAGUACCAACUUGGAGCCGGGUAGACUCGGUGGGUGGCGAGACCCAGAAGAGAGACAACAAUCACUGCAGUUCAGCUCACAGGAAGCCACAUCCAUAGGAAAAGGGGGAGAGUAAUACAUCAAGGGAACACCCCGAGGGACAAAAGAAUCUGAACAACAGUCUUCAGCCCUAGACUUCCCCAAAUGAGAAGGAACCAGAAAACCAACCUUGGUAAUAUGACAAAACAAGGCUCUUCAACACCCCCCAAAAUAUAAUACUAGUUCACCAGCAAUGGAUCCAAACCAAGAAGAAAUCCCUGAUUUACCUGAAAAAGAAUUCAGGAGGUUAUUAAGCUAAUCAGGGAGAGGCCAGAGAAAGCAAAGCCCAAUGCAAGAAAAUCCAAAAAAUGUUACAAGAAGUGAAGAGAGAAAUAUUCAAGGAAAUAGAUGGCUUAAAGUAAAAACAAUCAAAAAUUCAAGAAACUUUGGACACACUUUUAGAAAUGCAAAAUGCUCUGGAAAGUCUCAGCAAUAGAAUUGAACUAGUAGAAGAAAAAAAUUCAGAGCUUAAAGACAAGGUCUUCGAAUUAACCCAAUUCAACAAAGACAAAGAAAAAAUAAUAAGAAAAUAUGAACAAAGCCUCCAAGAAGUCUGGGAUUAUGUUAAACAACCAAACCUAAGAAUAAUCAAUGUUCCUGAGGAAGAAGAGAAUUCUAAAAGCCUGGAAAAUAUAUUUGGGGGAAUAAUCGAGGAAAACUUCCCCGGCCUUGCUAGAGACCUAGACAUCCAAAUACAAGAAGCACAAAGAUCACCCAGGAAAUUCAUCACCAAAAGAUCUUCACCUAGGCACAUUGUCAUCAGGUUAUCCAAAGGAAACCAUUUUAAGAGCUGUGAGACAGAAGCACCAGGUAACUUAUAAAGGAAAAAUCUAUCAGAUUAACAGCAGAUUUCUCAGCAGAAACCCUACAAGCUAAGACAGAAUUGGGGCCCUAUCUUCAGCCCCCUCAAACAAAACAAUUAUCAGCCAAGAAUUUUGUAUACAGCGAAACUAAGCAUCAUAUUUGAAGGAAAGAUACAGUCAUCUUCAGACAAACAAAUGCUGAGAUAAUUCACACCAAGCCACCACUACAAGAACUGAUAAAAGAAGCUCUAAAUAUUGAAACAAAUCCUGGAAAACAGAGCUUCUUUAAAGCAUAAAUCACAUGGGACCUAUUAAAAAAACACACACACACAGGUUAAAAAGC
rnacentral:sRNA from 1 species